rfam:Roseovarius atlanticus strain R12B contig34, whole genome shotgun sequence.
CGAUCGGGUGGUCCCUUGUGGGAUUGGGACCAAGAAUGGAUCGUUCCCGCCUCUCUCGGGUGGCUCUGCCGCUGUGGCCCGACAGCGUGCAGG